UGUCCAGACUCCUACGGGAGGCAGCAGUCGGGAGUAUUGCGCAAUGGAGGAAACUCUGACGCAGUGACGCCGCGUGCAGGAAGAAGGUUUUCGGAUUGUAAACUGCUUUAGACAGGGAAGAUACAAGACAGUACCUGUAAAAUAAGCUCCGGCUAACUACGUGCCAGCAGCCGCGGUAAUACGUAGGGAGCAAGCGUUAUCCGGAUUUAUUGGGUGUAAAGGGUGCGUAGACGGGAAGGCAAGUUGGUUGUGAAAUCCCUCGGCUUAACUGAGGAACUGCAACCAAAACUAUCUUUCUUGAGUGCUGGAGAGGAAAGGGGAAUUCCUAGUGUAGCGGUGAAAUGCGUAGAUAUUAGGAGGAACACCAGUGGCGAAGGCGACUUACUGGACUGUAACUGACGUUGAGGCUCAAAAGCGUGGGGAGCAAACAGGAUUAGAUACCCCGGUAA
rnacentral:rRNA from 1 species